GCAGAGCUCUUCUGGCCCUUAUGAGAAUGCCUAGGAGCAGCUCCAAGGACUCCUUGAUCCCUAAAAUAGAGCUGAAGGCAGGAGGGAGAUGUCACCUCGUGGAAGCAGGGGACAAUAGUUCUCUCUAGUUGUCCCCCACACACCUCAAGACCAAUGGGACCAACAGACUGUCUGCACCCCCAACCCUCAACAACCGGCUCCUCCUGCCAGUUUCCCUAUCCCAGUGAAUGGCACCAUCACCUCCUGAAGGUGGGGAUCCUCCCAGGCUUAGGUCCCAUCCUGGGAACGAAUUCAAGCUUAAUCUCUAUGCAACAUGGGGCUUCUCCCCUUCUCCAGGCCGACCCAGGCUUGAGAGCAGGCGACUUCUCUCUGAACUCUGCCAAGUGCAGUUCUUGACUCCAGGGUCAGGCCCAGGGGUGAGGGUUUGGGAAGGAAAGGGCACAGUGUUCCAUGGCAGCCAAAGUUGUCACCCAUCUGGCACUGGGGACUUUGGGGACAGUUUCCAGCUCAUUCUCUCUGGGGCUCUAGUGCAGGUUUCUUGGAGACCUUCUUACUGACUCCACUGGCCACAGCUCCCCAGCACCUGAAAUGCCUGCACCUCCUGCUGGCCACAAUUCACCACCUCCCCUUCAGCUCCUACAGGAUGGUGUCCUCCUGGCUUCUCCUGCUGAGGCCGCCUUACCUACUAGGAAGCACUUUGGGAUGGAGAUGGUCAGGCUGGC
rnacentral:lncRNA from 1 species